UUUGGCACUGUACUUUGGAUGCCUGCUUCUAACUGUCUCAUGGACAAUGGAUGGUGCUCUGGUCCCCUGCCUUCUAACGUUGGUGGGAGGCUGGACCCACGGAUGAAAACCUUGACCUCAAAUCGGGUGAGACUACCCGCUGAACUUAAGCAUAUCA
rnacentral:rRNA from 1 species